UGUCAGAGGGGGCGGAGCCUCAAGUGGGUCUGGUUCAGGUUCUGGAGAAUCAGGUCCAGUUCUCCAGUUGGCUCUGACUCGGUUUGUGUGAACAGAAGGAGAAGCAAAGUUCUGAUCAGGUAAAAGAUGGCGCAGAAGCAGGAAGUGAAUUUUGGUAAGUGAUCAGAAGCAGAAAUUAACUAUCAUAAAGGAAUAAACUGACCAAUCAGCCUGUGCUACUGCCAUGCGAUGAAGCUCAGCCUCAGUGUGUCUUUAUUGUUUUCAUGCUUCCUGUUCAGUGAAGCUCUGGUGGAAACAUUAUGAGUUUCUGCAAAACCUGAAGGUAAAAACUGAACUCAAAUGGAAACAGAACUAAAAGGAACCAAAGUAAAGAAGCCUAAUCAAUGUAUCCAGUAAUUGCAUCAUUUAUUACUAAUUCAUUGUCCCAGAUGGAAAAACUUGCUGUGUCUUUUAUUCCAACUUUUGGUGAAAGAAAUUUUAAAGUGUAGAGACGGAGGUGAGUCCAAAGGCCUUAUUUGUAAAGUGUAGGUACGUACAAAAAAGUGUGGCACCAUAUUUUACGCACAAGUCAGCAUGUAUAAAAAUGAAUGUCGCAUGAAAAUGUGCAUAAAUAUACGCAAUUUUUUUCCCUGGCGUAAAAAUGUGCAACAGCAGCACAAACUUUUUCUGUGGACAAUAUCAAACUACAAAGCGUCAAAACUCACUGAACACACUGAAAUCUGACAACAUUCUUCAUUUUUUAGACCAAGAAUCAUCAAACCUGAUGUUUUUUACACGAUUUUAUGAAGUAGAUUUGAUUAAUGUUUCUGCUGUGUUGUCUGUAAAAUAAAAUUUUGUGAUAGUAGCUGUUUGUCGAAGUGAGCCAAUGUUGAUUGUGCUUUCAAAGAUGACAGCAAAGUGAGCUGACAGAGCAACAUCAUUUGAUCCUCAUCACAAUUUUCUCUGACAUUUCUAGUUAAAUGAAUCCUGUCUCUAAUUUCUGCCUGCAGAGGAAAAACUUUUCGAUGUUCGUAGCAAGUUUGUGGAAAGAAUUUCUGAAGAAAUCCUAAAUCAGCUCCUCGAUGGCCUUCUAUCAGACUCUGUCUUUACUCUUUUGGAGAAAGAGAAUA